GGGCCGCACCCAUCACUAUGGAGACCCUGGAGUAUUUCAUGAGCCUUCGCCUCCCCUUGUAUGAGCUGUAUGGGAUGAGUGAAAGCACCGGCCCUCACACCAUCUCCUGGGAGAAUAACUUCAAGAUCAUGAGCUGUGGAAAGGUGGUGAAUGGCUGCCAGACAAAGUUGGACAAGCCAGACGAGGAUGGGAAUGGUGAGAUCUGUUUCUGGGGGCGUCAUGAGGCCUUGGACCAGGAGGGCUGGCUGCACUCUGGAGCAAGCACGAAAAGGACAACAUCCUGUUCAUCACAGGGAGGAUAAAGGAGCUGAUCAUAACAGCAGGAGGAGAGAAUAUUCCACCUGUGCCCAUUGAGGAUGCAGUGAAAGCAGAGACCGCCAUCAUCAGCAACGCCAUGUUGCUCGGAGACAAGCUCAAAUUCCUCUCUAUGAUGCUCACACUCAAAUGUGUAGUCGACGACAACGGGUAUACGACGGACGAGCUGACCCCAGAGGCCUUGGCGUUCUGCCAGCAGCGUGGUGUCAUGGAAACCAAGGCCUCUGAGAUUAUAGCCAGUAAGGAGCCAGCUGUUUACAAGGCCAUCCAGGAGGGCAUAGAGCUAAGGCCAACUCAAACGCCCAGAGG